AUUGAACGCUGGCGGCAGGCCUAACACAUGCAAGUCGAGCGGAGCGGGGGACGGGUGCGUAAUGACUAGGAAUCUGCCUGGUAGUGGUGGAUAAGGUCCAGAAACGGGCGCUGAUACAGAAUCCUAUCCGCUGAACAUAGGCCGGAUUAGGUAGUUGGUGGGGUAAAGGCCUACCAAGGCGACGAUCCGUAACUGGUCUGAGAGGAUGAUCAGUCACACUGGAACUGAGACACGGUCCAGACUCCUACGGGAGGCAGCAGUGGGGAAUAUUGGACAAUGGGCGCAAGCCUGAUCCAGCCAUGCCGCGUGUGUGAAGAAGGUCUUCGGAUUGUAAAGCACUUUAAGUUGGGAGGCGUUACCAACAGAAUAAGCACCGGCUAACUUCGUGCCAGCAGCCGCGGUAAUAC
rnacentral:rRNA from 1 species